UCACCGUUUGCCUCCUGAACAUUGCCUGUACCUGUUUGGCUUUGAAGACUUUGUUUUCACCUGCUGCCUGGACUUUCUGUUUUGUCAAACAAACAUAAUUUUUUUUGCUGACCUAAAUGCAGCCUUUGAGUCUGCGUUUGGGUCCACAAUGUAUGACAGCUUAUAAAAGUAUUAAAUCUUUUCUUUUGUGGAUUCCUCUGAUCAUCUUAACAGUGGAGCAUCUUAAACCAGAGGAGGGUACUGUUUACUCUGCGGUGGGAGCUGCAGGAACAUCGAGUCCUGCAGAUGAUGCAGAUGAUACAGUUUAUUCUGAAGUCACAUUAUGAAGCUCUCCUGGUCAGUGAGGAGAGCUGCAGCAGCAAAGCCAAAAAGAAAAGAUUUUUAUGAAGUCAUUGUUGCUCCUCUGCUCCCCAAAUAUCAGACAUGCUCAGUUUUUGUGAAAAUGAUAUUGAAUAAUAUGAUGUAGACUCUUUCAGCAUAAGGCAUACAGAGGUCUAUUUCUAUUUCAAAUCCAUGCUCUCUAUAUUCAGCUGUUAUUUUUAUAUUCAUUUUGAGCUUUUGUAUUAAACUUUGAAUGUUUCCUGUUCCAACAGCAGUGAGAAAAAAGUUUGUGAUUUUUAGCAGCUGAUAGCACGACUUAAAGUCAGCAGUGUAACAUUAGGAAGUACUGGUAUGGACACCAACAAAUACUUUUACUGCAUGUGUUUAAAGACCUGCAUCAUGUAAAAAAGAAUCAUAGGACAGGUCACUGCUGUGUUGGAGACACAUUAUCUGCAGACACAUUCAGGCUCACAUUCACAGCCACGGCCACUUUAGAAUCAGCAGUUAAACUGUGUGAUUUUUUAUCUCUGUAUUUUUUUAUUCUGUUCUUAUGGCUGAUGUGAGGUUCUACAGUAUCAUGUUUCUGUCUUCAUAUAAUACUCUCGUACAAGUUGUACGAGUUAUCUUUUACACAGGAUGCUUUGUAUU